rnacentral:tRNA from 1 species
UGCGGGGUGGAGCAGCCUGGUAGCUCGUUAGGCCCAUAACCUAAAGGUCAGAGGUUCGAAUCCUCUCCCCGCUA